rnacentral:rRNA from 1 species
AACGAACGCUGGCGGCAUGCCUAACACAUGCAAGUCGAACGAACCCUUCGGGGUUAGUGGCGCACGGGUGCGUAACGCGUGGGAAUCUGCCCUUUGCUUCGGAAUAACAGUUAGAAAUGACUGCUAAUACCGGAUGAUGUCUUCGGACCAAAGAUUUAUCGGCAAAGGAUGAGCCCGCGUAGGAUUAGGUAGUUGGUGGGGUAAAGGCCUACCAAGCCGACGAUCCUUAGCUGGUCUGAGAGGAUGAUCAGCCACACUGGGACUGAGACACGGCCCAGACUCCUACGGGAGGCAGCAGUGGGGAAUAUUGGACAAUGGGCGCAAGCCUAAUCCAGCGAUGCCGCGUGAGUGAUGAAGGCCUUCGGGUCGUAAAGCUCUUUUACCAGGGAUGAUAAUGACAGUACCUGGAGAAUAAGCUCCGGCUAACUCCGUGCCAGCCGCCGCUGUAAAAC